AAAAAAUUAGUUAAAAUUAAAAUAACAUUAAUUUGUCAAAUUAAAAUUAUUAUAAAAUAUUUUUUA
rnacentral:tRNA from 2 species